UCCACCGUGCUCUGAGUAGGAAAAUAAGGUUCUUGACUUUAAAGAAUUGUUCAAAUGCAUACUAAAAUGUCUCGGGAAGCUACGAAUGAAUGUUUCUGACAUAUUCAUCUCUUCAAUGGAAAAAAAUGGAAAUUGCGGUUUUGAGUGAUUGCGCUUAUAUCCGUAUGAAAGUACAGACAAUGGACAGUCAAUCAUCGGACAUCAACUGUGCAAAAUUUAAUAAGAAUCAACAAUUUAGAUGCUGAAACUAUGCAUUGUUUUCCCAACUGAUUAACCCUUAUCGUGGCAAGAUUGCUUUUUUUUGAAGACAAGCUAAAAAAAUGUAUAUAGAUGGACUUCACAAUGCUUAAUAAGAACAAA